rnacentral:misc_RNA from 1 species
UUUUUAUCAGAAGAUAGGAUAUUAAUUAGAAUUUGAAAUAGAAUAUAGGUUAAAGCCUAAAAAUAAGUGGCCAAAAUAACAAGCCUAAUGAAACAGGGCAUACAAAUUGAAACCCAAACUCACAGAAAUCCCACUCAGAGAUUUGACAUAGAAAUCCUAAAACCCAACUUCUAAAGGUCCAAGCCCAACUUCGAUCCUAGCUAGGGCAUGAACAUACAAUAGAGACUCAACUCUUUAGCGUUGUCAUUGCCUCCAUAGACCAUCACCAGGAAUAUUUAACGCCGAGUGCAGGAUGGAGGCAGAAGCCUAAUAGAGAGACCCAUAGAGAACAUCCACGGUGAUAGAUCGAGCCAUAUAGGAUUCACUAACCAACAAGACCAUAGAUCCAUGGGUGAGCUUUAGGCCCAGGAGGCGAGAACCAGAGUUUGUAGGAACCAAGAAGAAGCUGCUCACACCGUUAGAGCUUAUAGGGCGACAAUAACUUCGAUUGACAGGCGUUCCACUCACGCUAUACCUUCUAGCCACCAAACCAACAAGCAGCGAAAGACAAAUACUCAACGCCUCUGAUUUGUCAAACACGCAUACAGGGCAAACAACUAAAUCUUUUUCACUUAACAUGAACACCUACAAAAAGCUCAAUAAGCACAAAAAGAAAGCACAAUAAAACCCAGAGCAGCCUACAAAAUCCAUUCCCUUCAGCACAAGCUGCUCCACCAAACAAAAUAAAAAUUAUUUACAAUUUCGACCAAUAACGAAAAGGAAAACCACCAAGCUGGCCGAAACAAAGAAAGCCAAUGAAACAAUAACAUUAAGAAUCUAAAACCCUGUUCUCAAAACAAAAGAAUCUGAAACCCUAAAUUAAAAAAGAAAUUAAAAUGGGAGAGCUUCUCUAUCUUAAUUUCUCGCCUUCUAAAAGCUCAACUCCCCCCACUAUCUUAAACGCACACCGAGCUAUACAUAUGGCCCACCAGUUCCUUUUGAGCAAGAUAUGAAUUUGUUUUGA